ACGAACGCUGGCGGCGUGCCUAAUACAUGCAAGUAGAACGCUGAAGGAGGAGCUUGCUCUUCUUGGAUGAGUUGCGAACAGGUGAGUAACGCGUAGGUAACCUGCCUGGUAGCGGGGGAUAACUAUCGGAAACGAUAGCUAAUACCGCAUAAUAGUAGAUGUUGCAUGACAUUUGCUUAAAAGGUGCAAUUGCAUCACUACCAGAUGGACCUGCGUUGUAUUAGCUAGUUGGUGAGGUAACGGCUCACCAAGGCAACGAUACAUAGCCGACCUGAGAGGGUGAUCGGCCACACUGGGACUGAGACACGGCCCAGACUCCUGCGGGAGGCAGCAGUAGGGAAUCUUCGGCAAUGGACGGAAGUCUGACCGAGCAACGCCGCGUGAGUGAAGAAGGUUUUCGGAUCGUAAAGCUCUGUUGUAAGAGAAGAACGAGUGUGAGAGUGGAAAGUUCACACUGUGACGGUAUCUUACCAGAAAGGGACGGCUAACUACGUGC
rnacentral:rRNA from 1 species